GGUGAUAAAAUUUCACUUACAAUGAGAGUAACCUUGCAGGCAGCUGUAUACUUUUAUAGAAGUAAUAA
rnacentral:tRNA from 1 species